rnacentral:RNase_P_RNA from 1 species
AAAGUAGAUCGUCUUAUCGCUUCGAGAAAUCGGGGAGGAAAGUCCGGACACCACAGAGUAGCAUAGCGGUUAACGACCGUCUCCCGACUCAAAUCGGGAAGGACCAGUGCAACAGAAAGGAUGUACAGUUCGGCUGUAGUGAAAUCAGGUAAACUCUAUGCGGUGAAAUGCCAUGUAUAUUGAAGUAAUGAGUUACUCGCUCAAUUUCAAGGGGUAGGCAGCUAAAGCCAACAAGUAAUUGUUGGUUCAGAUAAAUGAUAAGAAUUCUAAAAAAGACAUCGCUUGCGAAGUUCUAAGAAACAGAAUCCGGCUUAUAGAUCUACUUUUUUU